rnacentral:lncRNA from 1 species
AAUAUUCUUAAAUGAAAACGGAAGUCGGAUUACUUGCUAUAGACAUUGUGUUUCACAUUAACUCAGAAUUUGUUCGUUACACAUCAAGUAGCAGUAAUCGGAAUUCAAGCAGAUUCACAAAAUCAAACAGAAGUUUAACAAUUUUUAAUCAUUCGAUGAAGGUGUAAUACAAAGGAGUCGAGAACUCACCUAAUCGAACAGCAACAAAACGACUGAAACAGGCCAAAUGAAGAGCCGAAAACAGUUGCGAUAGUGGGAGCUCGAUCAAUUCCUCAGCAGUCAACAGCAGCGUGAAGACAGGAUUUCUGAUCUCAAAACACUACUUGGAAACACAGAAGAUUGAAGCAAGUAGCAGUAGUUCCAAGCAAUUGCUGAGAAUUUUUCUUUUAAACCUAUUUUUCUCUAUUUUUUUAGCAAACAUUUUGUCUCCAAACUUUGAAGAAUGCGAGAAUCUCGAAGUUAUGAAUCUUCGAGCUGUUUUUUUUUGUUUACAAUUUUGACUAUUUCUUCUUUUUGGUCUUGCUAAUGGCUGAAUCUGGUUCGUUGUGGUUGUUUGAAGAAGACGGAGGUGGGACCGUUGGUGAAUGUCGGAUUUCUGGUGAUUUGGUGGCUGGAGGGUGAAGCCCGAAGCUAUGGUUGUUGAUUUGGAGAGGGGAUCGAAGGGUCUCCCCUCGUUUGUGAAGAAGAAGACGGUAGGGGUCUAAGUGUUUGGAGAAGGUGAAAACCAUUGUUCAAUUUUUGGGGUCUGAUCUCUAUAUGUGUGGGAGAUCUCCCUGAGAAUGGAGAAGAAGGAGAGAAGAAAUAGCUGGAAUCCGAGAAAUGGGAAAGGGUCACGCUAUUUUUGUGUCUCUAAUUUGGAGAGCUAUAUUUUUUUUUGUUUACAAUUUUGACUAUUUCUUCUUUUUGGUCUUGCUAAUGGCUGAAUCUGGUUCGUUGUGGUUGUUUGAAGAAGACGGAGGUGGGACCGUUGGUGAAUGUCGGAUUUCUGGUGAUUUGGUGGCUGGAGGGUGAAGCCCGAAGCUAUGGUUGUUGAUUUGGAGAGGGAAUCGAAGGGUCUCCCCUCGUUUGUGAAGAAGAAGAUGCCGGAUUUCUAGUGAUUUGGUGGCUGGAGUGUGAAGCUAGAAGCUAUGGUUGUUGAUUUGGAGAGGGGAUAGAAGGGUCUCCUCUCGUUUGUGAAGAAGAAGACGCUAGGGGUCUAAGUGUUUGGAGAAGGUGAAAACCAUUGCUCAAUUUUUGGGGUCUGAUCUCUAUAUGUGUGGGAGAUCUCCCCGAGAAUGGAGAAGAAGGAGAGAAGAAAUAGCUGGAAUAAGGGUCACGCUAUUUUUGUGUCUCUAAUUUGGAGAGCUAUAUUUUUUUUUUUGUAUACAAUUUUGUCUAUUUCUUCUUUUUGGUCUUGCUAAUGGCUGAAUCUGGUUCGUUGUGGUUGUUUGAAGAAGACGUAGAAGAGGCCACUGGAGAUUGGUAAAUUGGAUGAUGGUCUCUACAGGGAAUAAGGGUCACGCUAUUUUUGUGUCUCUAAUUUGGAGAGCUAUAUUUUUUUUUUUGUAUACAAUUUUGUCUAUUUCUUCUUUUUGGUCUUGCUAAUGGCUGAAUCUGGUUCGUUGUGGUUGUUUGAAGAAGACGCAGGUGGGAUCGUUGGUGAAUGCCGGAUUUCUAGUGAUUUGGUGGCUGGAGUGUGAAGCUCGAAGCUAUGGUUGUUGAUUUGGAGAGGGGAUAGAAGGGUCUCCUCUCGUUUGUGAAGUAGAAGACGCUAGGGGUCUAAGUGUUUGGAGAAGGUGAAAACCAUUGCUCAAUUUUGGGUCUUGUCUCUGUGAGUGCGGGGUAUCUCCCUGAGAAUGGAGAAGAAGGAGAGGGAAAAUAGCUGGAAUCUGAAAAAUAAAAAAGGGGUCACGCUAUUUUCCGUGUCUCUAAGGGAAAGGGGUUUGGACGAGGUAAGUGACGGAUUGGGCUGUUAUUGGGUCAGAUAUGUGAGGGGAUAAUUUGGGCCUAAUCAAAUUCAAUUAAAAUGACCCAGAAAAUUGGUCCUUUAUUAAGC